CAGCAUGUGACUCUUGACAUAUAUUCUGUAGGGAAUGUGGCCCGGGCCUUAACAGUAAAAAAAGGUUUCCCUGCUCCAGGCCUUACCACAAACUGUGUAACGUUCAGAUUGCAUUGCAAGAUCUGCACAAGCUCAGAACCCAUCUUCACGUGAAAGAAAACAAUAAGGAGACAGCCUGAGACACCUGAAGAUUCCCAGAGACGUGAGGUUUGGAGUAGUUGCUGCCUGUUCCCGAAGAGGGGAGCUGUAAGGCUUCAAGGUGAGUUAAAGCAAUGAAGGAGAGACCUGAAUGCAAAAGGGGCGAAGAAAGAGAGAAACGGCAGGAAAGGCAAGGAAUCCGCGGCUGGCUGGAGAGAGGAAGGAGGUUGGAAGGAUUGAGAGACGUCCCAUCUGGUUCCUUUCCAUUAUGUGCAGUCAACUGUGAGGAUGUAGUUCAUUGGGGAGUUCAUGCUUUCCAUGCAGAAGAUCUCAGGUUCAAUUUUGGCCACUCCAAUUUAAAGGAUAAGAAGUGCCCUGCUGGAUCAGACCAAAAGGCGAUUCUAGUCCAGCAACUUGUUCCCACGCUGGUCAAUCAGCAAGCCUCUGAGAAGUCCACAAGCAGGACAUGAAUGCAAUACCUCUCCUCCCCUCCGAAAAUAUGGGGUCUCAGUGCAGUGUGAUUUCAAAUAACUUCACAACAUGGCUGUUAACUGCCCUCAGUUGUGCUUGCCUGUGAGAAGCUUUUGUGCUUAUCUGAGUCCUGUGUUAGCACUGCAGAAAGCAGCUACUGCCUAAAAUGCUGAUUGCUCCAUUUUUAUCACUCUUGUGUUUCUUGCUCUGAGGAUCUAAUACGGGAACUGUGGAUAUGAUGAGAAGAAGGGCUCAUCUACAGAUCUCUCUCAAAAAGCAGGCACAUGCCUUUGGUAAGGUACAUUCCCGGAGAGGAGAACCGCAACUGGAAAGCUUCAAGGAUCAGGAAUAACAAGGGAGGACCUGGCGGGAAGCAAAGUGGAGGAGAAUUUGGAAGCAGGUGGAAGAAGAGACUUCCAUGUUGCUUAGUUUGGGACCAUUUGAUUGGGACAGAUCCACAAGAAAUUAAGCAGGAACCAGAUGAGGGGCUCCAGCAGGGUGGGAAGCCUAGUGGCAGGUGUUCCUGGAGACAACAUAGGGCCCUAGGCACAGAGACAAAAACUCAUCGCUGCCUCGAUCCCAGUCAGGAUUGAGAACACUAAAGACUUCCUGUCCACCUUGAUAGGAGUAGCUGGUGCCAGGCUGCGGCCUAGGGGGGAAAAGGUGACCCAGGCCUUGGAAGGCAUCAGUGGAGAAACCCAAGAGGCCCAUGAAAAGCCAGAUUCUAUGGUGGAAGUGAAGAAAGAGAGUCUGGAGGAGGAGGAAGACUCAAAGAUGGAACAUCAGCAUUCCAGGCACUUUGGAUACCAUGCGAGCAAGGGAUCCCAUUUGGACAGGAACUUUGGGUAUUUGGGGCUGAAGCCAGGGAGAUCUACAAAGCAGAGCCUGGGGGAUGCUGAUUCUGGACCGGUUCAAUCUCACUGUCCAUCUUGAGCCACUACACUAGCUACACCCAAGGGCCUCCAUUUGCAUUAUGCCAGGAUGCCCAUCAUGUAGAGCCUCCCACACAUGUCUCAACGCAGUGGGAAUCAUAGAAUAGUAGAGUUGGAGGGGGCCUAUAAGGCCAUCAAGUCCAACCCUCUGCUCAAUGCAGGAAUCCAAAUCAAAGCAUUCCCGACAGAUGGCUGUCCAGCUGCCUCUUGAAUGCCUCCAGUUUCGGAGAGCCCACUACCUCUCUAGGUAAUUGGUUCCAUUGUUGUAUGGCUCUAACAGUUAGGAAGUUUUUCUUGAUGUCCAGUCGAAAUCUGGCUUCUUGCAACUUGAGCCCAUUAUUCCGUCUCCUGCAUUCUGGGACAAUCAAGAAGAGAUCCCGGCCCUCCUCUGUGUGACAACCUUUCAUGUACUUGAAGAGUGCUAUCAUAUCUCCUCUCAGUCUUCUCCAGGCUAAACGUGCCCAGUUCUUUCAGUCUCUCAUAGAGAUUUGUUUCCAGUCCCCUGAUCAUCCUUGUUGCCCUUUUCUGAACCUGUUCCAGUUUGUUUGCAUCCUUCUUGAAGCGCGGAGAAAUGAACUGGACUCAGUACUCAAGAUGAGGCCUAACCAGUGCUGAAUAGAGGGGAACUAAUACUUCACAUGUAUGAGUACUCUGUUUGCCCAGAGGGAGAGGGUGCCCCAGACCUUGGCAGGUGUCAUUGGAGAACACCAAGUGGCCUAUGAAAGCCUGGAUUUUACUGUGGAAGUGAAGGCGGAGACUCUGGGUGAGGAACUAGGACACUAGGGUUGCAGUCCACUUGCUGGUCCCAAUCCUCUCACAUACUGUCAAGCUAGAAUUUAGUUCCAUGCCAUCUUUGUUUAUUUUAGCUAACUUAUGCUUUCUUUCAGUUCUAUUAAAGUGUUUAACAAGAAGGUGGGAGGACAUUUAAGGGGUAAAUAUAACAGAAAUUAACAGGGAAGCUUGGACUCGCCUACAUUAAGGAAGGAUUUGCUUUGCCAUCGUGAAACUGAGCAGGUGAAAGUUGCUUUAAAUUCUACCCAUUGGAUAGCAUUGCUUGGAAUAAAAAGAGAGACUAGAGCAGCACUGAGUUCACAAAACAUU